AGGGAAACCGAGUCUUAACUGGGCGUUAAGUUGCAGGGUAUAGACCCGAAACCCGGUGAUCUAGCCAUGGGCAGGUUGAAGGUUGGGUAACACUAACUGGAGGACCGAACCGACUAAUGUUGAAAAAUUAGCGGAUGACUUGUGGCUGGGGGUGAAAGGCCAAUCAAACCGGGAGAUAGCUGGUUCUCCCCGAAAGCUAUUUAGGUAGCGCCUCGUGAACUCAUCUUCGGGGGUAGAGCACUGUUUCGGCUAGGGGGUCAUCCCGACUUACCAACCCGAUGCAAACUGCGAAUACCGAAGAAUGUUAUCACGGGAGACACACGGCGGGUGCUAACGUCCGUCGUGAAGAGGGAAACAACCCAGACCGCCAGCUAAGGUCCCAAAGUCACAGUUAAGUGGGAAACGAUGUGGGAAGGCUCAGACAGCCAGGAUGUUGGCUUAGAAGCAGCCAUCAUUUAAAGAAAGCGUAAUAGCUCACUGGUCGAGUCGGCCUGCGCGGAAGAUGUAACGGGGCUAAACUGUGCACCGAAGCUGCGGCAGCGACGCUUAUGCGUUGUUGGGUAGGGGAGCGUUCUGUAAGCCUGCGAAGGUGUCCUGUGAGGGAUGCUGGAGGUAUCAGAAGUGCGAAUGCUGACAUAAGUAACGAUAAUGCGGGUGAAAAGCCCGCUCGCCGGAAGACCAAGGGUUCCUGUCCAACGUUAAUCGGGGCAGGGUGAGUCGACCCCUAAGGCGAGGCCGAAAGGCGUAGUCGAUGGGAAACGGGUUAAUAUUCCCGUACUUGGUGUUACUGCGAAGGGGGGACGGAGAAGGCUAUGUUGGCCGGGCGACGGUUGUCCCGGUUUAAGCGUGUAGGCUGGUUUUCCAGGCAAAUCCGG
rnacentral:rRNA from 2 species